UACGAAGGGGGCUAGCGUUGCUCGGAAUCACUGGGCGUAAAGCGCACGUAGGCGGAUCUUUAAGUCAGGGGUGAAAUCCUGGAGCUCAACUCCAGAACUGCCUUUGAUACUGGUGAGCUUGAGUCCGGGAGAGGUGAGUGGAACUGCGAGUGUAGAGGUGAAAUUCGUAGAUAUUCGCAAGAACACCGGUGGCGAAGGCGGGACUCUGGGUCGAUACUGACGCUGAGGAGCGAAAGCGUGGGGAGCAAACAGG
rnacentral:rRNA from 1 species